AGAGUUUGAUUCUGGCUCAGAUUGAACGCUGGCGGAUGCUUUACACAUGCAAGUCGAACGCAGCACCAGUGACUUCGGUCUGCGUGGCGAGUGGCGAACGGGUGAGUAAUGUAUCGGAACGUGCCUAGUAGCGGGGGAUAACUACGUGAGCGUAGCUAAUACCGCAUACGCCCUUCGGGGGAAAGCGGGGACCUUCGGGCCUCGCACUAUUAGAGUGGCCGAUAUCGGAUUAGCUAGUUGGUGGGGUAACGGCUCACCAAGGCGACGAUCCGUAGCUGGUUUGAGAGGACGACCAGCCACACUGGGACCGAGACACGGGCCCAGAUCUACGGGAGGCAGCAGUGGGGAAUUUUGGACAAUGGGGGAAACCCCCAGAUCCAGCCAUCCCGCGUGUGCGAUGAAGGCCUUCGGGUUGUAAAGCACUUUUGGCAGGAAGAAACGGCACGGAUAAUACCCGUGCACCGAUGGUACCUGCAGAAUAAGCACCGGCUAACUACGUGCCAGCAGCCGCGGUAAUACGUAGGGUGUAAGCAUGUUGACCGGAAUUACUGGGCGUGAAGCGUGCGCAGGCGGUUCGGAAAGAAAGAUGUGAAAUCCCAGAGCUUAACUUUGGAACUGCAUUUUUAACUACCGAGCUAGAGUGCGUCAGAGGGAGUGGACCGCGUAGCAGUGAAAUGCAGAUAUGCAGAGGAACACCGAUGCUAUAGCAGCCUGGGAUAACACUGAUCGCUCAUGCACGAAAGCGUGGGGAGCAAACAGGAUUAGAUACCCGGUAGUCCACGCCCUAAACGAUGUCAACUAGCUGUUGGGGCCUCUCUGGGCCUUGGUAGCGCAGCUAACGUUGCGAAGUUGACCGCCUGGGGAGUACGGUCGCAAGAUUAAAACUCAAAGGAAUUGACGGGGACCUGCAUUGUUGCGGAUGAUGAUUAAUUCGAUGCAACGCGAAAAACUCACUUACUCUUGACAUGUCCGGAAUCCCGAAGAGAUUUGGGAAAUGCUCGCAAGAGAACCGAACACAGGUGCCAAAAGGGCUGUCGUCAGCUCCGCCGAGAUGUUAAGUCCCGCAACGAGCAACCCCUUGUCAUUAGUUGCUACGAGCAGCACCUUAAUGAGACUGCCGGUGGAGAACUGGAGGAAGGUGGGGUUGAUGUCGAGUCUCAUGGCCCUUAUGGGUAGGGCUUCACACUACAGCAGAAUGGUCGGGACAGAGACGCCAACCCGCGAGGGGGAGCCAAUCCCAGAAACCCGAUCGUAGUCCGGAUCGCAGUCUGCAACUCGACUGCGUGAAGUCGGAAUCGCUAGUAAUCGCGGAUCAGCAUGUCGCGGUGAAUACGUUCCCGGGUCUUGUACACACCGCCCGUCACACUAGCGGGAGUGGGUUUUACCAGAAGUAGUUAGCCUAACCGUAAGGAGGGCGAUUACCACGGUAGGAUUCAUGACUGGGGUGAAGUCGUAACAAGGUAG
rnacentral:rRNA from 1 species